rnacentral:rRNA from 1 species
GACGAACGCUGGCGGCGUGCUUAACACAUGCAAGUCGAACGGAAAGGCCCUGCUCUUGUGGGGUGCUCGAGUGGCGAACGGGUGAGUAACACGUGAGUAACCUGCCCUUGACUUUGGGAUAACUUCAGGAAACUGGGGCUAAUACCGGAUAGGAGCUCCUGCUGCAUGGUGGGGGUUGGAAAGUUUCGGCGGUGGGGGAUGGACUCUCGGCUUAUCAGCUGGUUGGUGGGGUAGUGGCUUACCAAGGCUUUGACGGGUAGCCGGCCUGAGAGGGUGACCGGCCACAAUGGGACUGAGAUACGGCCCAGACUCCUACGGGGGGCAGCAGUGGGGAAUAUUGCACAAUGGGCGGAAGCCUGAUGCAGCAGCGCCGCGUGCGGGAUGACGGCCUUCGGGUUGUAAACCGCUUUCGCCUGUGACGAAGCGUGAGUGACGGUAAUGGGUAAAGAAGCACCGGCUAACUACGUG